rnacentral:snoRNA from 1 species
AUCGCCUCUAAUAGCAUUGCAGGGAUGGCUGCUGUGUCACCUGCAGUCGGUGGCAGAGGGGAGAGAGGCUAUGCCUACACUAUUCUGACCUGUGAACGUCUGAAUGAUGAUAACAGU